rnacentral:rRNA from 1 species
GACGAACGCUGGCGGCGUGCCUAAUACAUGCAAGUAGAACGCUGAAGGAGGAGCUUGCUUCUCUGGAUGAGUUGCGAACGGGUGAGUAACGCGUAGGUAACCUGCCUGGUAGCGGGGGAUAACUAUUGGAAACGAUAGCUAAUACCGCAUAAUAGUAGAUGUUGCAUGACAUUUGCUUAAAAGGUGCAAUUGCAUCACUACCAGAUGGACCUGCGUUGUAUUAGCUAGUUGGUGGGGUAACGGCUCACCAAGGCGACGAUACAUAGCCGACCUGCGAGGGGGAUCGGCCACACUGGGACUGAGACACGGCCCAGACUCCUACGGGAGGCAGCAGUAGGGAAUCUUCGGCAAUGGACGGAAGUCUGACCGAGCAACGCCGCGUGAGUGAAGAAGGUUUUCGGAUCGUAAAGCUCUGUUGUAAGAGAAGAACGAGUGUGAGAGUGGAAAGUUCACACUGUGACGGUAUCUUACCAGAAAGGGACGGCUAACUACGUG